UCCGAGAUAGCUCAGCUGGGAGAGCGUCAGACUGAAGAUCUAAAGAAUGCGUUCUAGUGUCAGUUAUGGCUUUUGGAU
rnacentral:tRNA from 1 species